AGAAAACCAGGACUCGAACCUGCACUUAACAACUCAAAAUUGCUCGUA
rnacentral:tRNA from 1 species